GAUGAAGAACGUAGCGAAAUGCGAUACGUAAUGUGAAUUGCAAAUUCAGUGAAUCAUCGAGUCUUUGAACGCAUAUUGCGCCCCCUGGUAUUCCGGGGGGCAUGCCUGUCCGAGCGUCAUUGCUGCCCUCAAGCACGGCUUGUGUGUUGGGCCCCGUCCUCCGAUCCCGGGGGACGGGCCCGAAAGGCAGCGGCGGCACCGCGUCCGGUCCUCGAGCGUAUGGGGCUUUGUCACCCGCUCUGUAGGCCCGGCCGGCGCUUGCCGAUCAACCCAAAUUUUUAUCCAGGUUGACCUCGGAUCAGGUAGGGAUACCCGCUGAACUUAAGCAUAUCAAUAAGCGGAGGA
rnacentral:misc_RNA from 1 species